UACGUAGGGAGCAAGCGUUGUCCGGAAUCAUUGGGCGUAAAGCGCGCGUAGGUGGCCCCAUAAGUCCGCUGUGAAAGUCAAAGGCUCAACCUUUGAAAGCCGGUGGAUACUGUGGGACUAGAGUACGGAAGAGGCGAGUGGAAUUCCUGGUGUAGCGGUGGAAUGCGCAGAUAUCAGGAGGAACACCGAUGGCGAAGGCAGGUCUCUGGGCCAUUACUGACACUGAGAAGCGAAAGCAUGGGGAGCGAACAGG
rnacentral:rRNA from 1 species